AGGAACUCUGCUUAAUUCUGGAUCAGAUGACUGAUAAAAAUACGAAUGAGUAAGAUCUGCAAUUUUUCUAAAGGAAUAUGGACAGAGCCUUUAAAGAUUCAGUGGCGCUCAGUAUGUCAAAACACUUGAGCAGCUGUAAGAUCAGAACUCAAAGGCCGAGCAAGGAUGCAGCCACCUAGGAGGCUGAUUAAGGCCUUCUAGGUUUGACUGAGAAGGGAACAGAACAAGGACACCUGAGAAAGAUGCUGAUUUCAGCCUGUUUAAACUGUUUCAUUGAUGUAAGUCCUCUGCUUCUGCAAGUACAUGAAACACUGGUCCAAAGAAAGAUUUUCAUCCAUACCCUAUUUUGAAAGGUCAAGUAGCAACAGCAAUGAACACAUGACAGCCAAAAAAAUUAAAAG